AAGUCGUAACAAGGUUUCCGUAGGUGAACCUGCGGAAGGAUCAUUAACACGUAUCCAACGUUAAAACAACCCCCGUGAACUUUCAGCUUGCUCCUGUAGCCCUCUGCCGAUUGUGAUAUUUUAUAGCUACGGUUGAGCGAUUGCAUCUAGUGACCUGGCAUCCCCAAGUAAUCAGUGUCUGAAAGUGUCAUUGAUUAUGUAAGGAUGGCGCAGUCACGAUCGCUGUAGGCCCACACGGCCGGCGACCGGGUCACCGGGCUCUGCCCCUUUACGACAACACAGUACGAAUUGGCCGCGCGUGAAAUUCGCACGGCACCAAAAACCGAACAACUGUUAACAAUGGAUAUCUUGGUUCUC
rnacentral:misc_RNA from 1 species